ensembl:lncRNA
UGAACAUUUAUUGGUUUUGUUGGAGUUUUAACACUAAAAAGUACCCGACUAAAACAGGUCAUAGAAAUAAUAAUAAAAAACAAACCGUCACCACCAUUACAUCAUCAUGGCUGACAGGUGGAACUUGGCGUAAAUGACAUUCGGAUGUGAUCAACACAAGUAAAACAGCCAAACACAACAAGUUCAUGUUGGCAAGAAUUCACUCAAAACUGACAUUGGUCACAACAGAGUCAAAGGUCACAUCAAUUUUGAGUUAAUUUUCAUGUUGGCUGACUUUGUCCUCCGUAUCCCGACUGUCCGACUCUUCAAAUCCAGCACUUUUUUUGAAUCGUGGUAGUAAAUAGCAAACUGUCAGAUUUGGUUUUCAGUGCUGAAUUACAAAAAAAGGGCACAUUUUAUCAAAAGUAUUGCAUUAAAUCCAAACACUGAGAUGAGAAAACGAGCAGGUCAGUUCAUCAGCAUCAGACACCGAGUACAAAGAGAUACUUAACGUAUAAAACUAAAAAAAACACACCUCCAGGAUUAGUUUCCUCGUCUCAUUACACACAAAGUACAACUAUUCAAAUAAAAAUAAAGCUAACUAAACAGUACAACUCUCAAAAAUACUAAAACAUCCCUUUCAUGUCCCCCAUACCCACAUUUCCAUUAAACAAUGAGAGGACCUCGAAUCGUUCCCUGAGGAACCCCUGAUAAGUUCAGAGUCUCUUUAAGGAACUUGCAGGACUUCUGAUAAAUACGGAGGUCCGACUGAUGAAUCUUUACUGCAGAACCGACUCCCUUCUUGUUCUCUUGUUCGCAGCUUUUCAACAAAAAAGCCGAACGUACGUAACAUGGUCUUCUCUCCAAGCGGGAACCACACAGCCACUUUUCAGGAAACCGCCAAAAAAUAUGAUAAAAACUCACAGGAACAAAGGUGAGUUCUGCGAUAUGUUCUGAUGAACGGCGUCUGAACGCGUCUCAGUGCCAAAAAAAAGACGAAAAACGACGACUGUGGACCUCCUUAAAAACAAAGUUGGAGAGAAACGCAUCCGGAUGAAAUUAUUUUUAAAGCAACACAAUAAGAAGUUAAUAAAAAGAAAAUCCCAACAAGUUCUGACAACAGGAAAUCAAAUGUUCAUGUCAGUGUGAGAAUAAAAAGAUCUUAUAAAUACAAAAGUUUGAAAACAUCUAUUAAUUUUUCUGCAUCACUCAAGUACGAUAGAAGCUCCUACAUCAUCAUUUAUUCAAAAUUAUCUCUUUUCUCAUAACCAUCAGUUUACAUCCCUUCCUGUAUCCAUAUCACAUAAUUACAACAUAAUAUUUUAUAUUUACUAGAAAAGAUAUCUUUAAAAUACUUUUCUAACAAUAAUCCACUAUUUUCCUCGAGUUAUAACAAUUACAAGAAAUGUAAAUUAUCAUAAACAUGAUCAGAUGUCGUAUUUGUCAGACAAAAGUUUUAAAUGUCAAGAUUUUUACACAAUUGCAAGUCUUAAUUUUCAGAGAAAUUUUGGAUAUGUGCAUUGCAAAACUGAGAAAUGACGCCCUCAUUUCACAAAGAUGAGAUCUUAAAACAUUUAGAAAACUAUUAAAUUAUCACGUGCCUUAUUUUAUAAUUAGGAUUUCUCUUAAUUAUAUAAUUUUUUUUAUCAUAAUGAACUGCAAUUAUGGGAAAACAUCUCAAAUAUGAACAACUUCUUUCACAUAAUUACGACUCCGAUCUGCUAUUCAUCACAUUAAUCUCAUAUUUGUGCGACAAAUCUUGAAAUAUUACUACACCAUGUAUAUGUUUUAUAUUCAUAAUAUGGUAUAAUAAAGUUAUUUUGCAGAUUAUUUUUGCUAAAUCAUGAGAUCUUGUCUGUUUUUCUUCAUAUAACAAGAACUCAUAAUUGUAUGAUUAAAAUGUGCAGUUUUGAGAUCUUUUCUUAUAAAUAUCAGAUAUUUGGUAAAAUUAUAAGACAUAACUAGACGAUAUUACCAUUUUGGGAAUCAACUAAAACCUGCUUCAUCAUUUUCAUAAAUUUAUAAAAUCAAAACCACUGACAUGAACAUUUGUUUUAAUAAUCGCACUGAAACUUGGAGGAAAACUCCAUAAAAUGUUUUGCCUCAUUAUGGAAACACUUUGCAAUAAUUUAUUCAGUAAACAGAAUUUUAAAAAUGAAUGAUUUCUACUCUGCAGUGAAGCUUUUUUCCCUCUUUUAGUUGAUUUUCGAGCGGAUGCGUUUCCCUUCGUUAUGACUUUUGUAAACAAGGACAGGAGGAGCAGUGAUUGGUUAGCAGGUCACAUGAUGCUGCUGCCGUCAGGUGAGCUUACCUGACGGCAGCAGCAUUCAUUUACUAUUCAGUUUACAGUGCAAAGAGCUGCUGAAGUCCUGGAAAAAAGCAUAAUUUCUUUAACAUUCUUUAUCAUUUUAACUACUAUAUAUAUAUUUUCUGCUUCGUUAAUUUUGAUUCAUCCCCCUUGAUUUUUUUGUACAUCAUUAGUAUCUUUUUUGGUUGUUUUAUUUCUUCUUAACGUCAAAAAACACACAAAAAAGACAAUAAUAUUGUAGCAUUAAUAAUAAAAUAUGAAAUGAAACUGCAUCAAUUCAAAUUUUAUCUAAAAAACACAACACCCAAUUUUUUCGGCCCAACUAAGUAAAAUUUUUAGUUCUUUUACGAAAACAUUUCAAUACAGUGGUGUAAAAGAGUUUUUGGACACCCCAUACAUUUGUGAAAUAUCGCAUUAAGAAUGACUCUUAGGUCUUCAAGUGUAAUUUCUAUUAGCACAAUCAAAGCCAUAAUACUAAACAAAUUCUUUAAAAAGCCAUUAAAAAGUUAAAAUUGCUUGGUUCCAUUAACAAAAAAAAAAAGAGUAUUGGGUCACUUUGGUAGAAUUUAGUUUUGUUAGUUUUUCUUGUAAACAAAUAAAAAAAUAAUUUGUAUUUGUGUCUGUCUAUUGCAGCCACAUCUUAUGAAACACAAAAAAAGAUUUCUCCAUAAAUAUUUCAUGAAAAUAUUUGAGAUCGUGUAAAAUUUUAAGGGUGUCCGAAAAAAUUUUUCCACCACUGUAUGUUGGGUUUAAUUAUUUGCACGCUUAUAAUUGUACUCAUGUAAGUUUUUAUUUGCAUUUUCGAACUUUAAUAUCUCAUAAUAUUUUUGAACCAUGAAGAUUUUUAUAAUUUCUUUUUCAUUAAAAUUUUUUGACGUGGCAUCAGCGGACUUCCGUACAUCAGAGCUUUGUGUCGAUGCCGAAUAAACCCGUUAAAGGAAAUUAUGUGAUUAAUAAAUAUGAAGGAUGACACUUGUGUUAAAAAAGAAUUUAAAAAUAUUAAAAAUCUUGGCGCCUUCAGGACUCUGUAGACCCUUUUAAACUGUAUUAUGUGUUUUUACCCGACAGCUUCAGGCUCUUAUGUGAAAUCCAAAGUGAAAGAGAUACUUUAAAACAUACAUGGAACUGUGGUCAAACAUCAGCGCUGUACAUGUUCUGAGGUAAUGAGGUCUGUGUGGAAACAGAAGCAAAGAAAACACUUGAAAAAUGAGGUAUGUGAACACGAGUGGAGGCUGAAAGUGCAACAAGUCGGACAAACGUUUGCAGAAAAGCGGUUGGUAAUUAAGACGAUAGCGAAGCUUUAGUCAUUCGAGCAGCGUUCAGAGGCGAAGACAGCAAAUCAAACAGUCGAUAAUCAAACCAAAGUGAGAUUCGGGUUCUCGAUUCACUGCCACCAAACCCGCCUCGAGUUUCUCACUCCUGAUGUUUAUUUUUGCUUAAUUUACCAACAGCUGAGCUUCUUUUUCUUCUUCUUGCACAUCAAACUCCGGCCGCUCAGCAGAGUUUGGCCUUCAUAUUGCUUAAGAGACAAACUUUUUUUUUUUUUGUUCAGACAAGUAAAAACAGAAUCACCGUCUCGCUAGAAAAAGGUUCAUUUCGCACAUUUACAAAGCAUAAAAACAAUGGAAACGGUGAUUGUUCGUGCUGAAGCUUCGCGGAGCAGAAACGACAACAAAUACACGAGAAUCAGGAUAAACCGCCGAAAUGUUUUCCGUUAUCUGAUCAUUUUCCUCCUUCUCCUCCUGCUACAAAACAACCCAGAUGAAAAGAAAUGAGCUUUCAUAGAGCCAAGGUACCAGCGCCGAGGAAGGAGAGGAGCGAACCGUCUUUAAACUGUACAACGAAAAGGAAACAAAACCGCCGAGAUUCACAUUCAGACUCACGAUGCCACUGAAGCACAAGUUCUUCGUGUUUCUCCAGAAAAGUCCAAUAAAUCACAGAAAUGCACUUGACGAGAAUCAGAAGUCACAACAGAAAAGGAGGUGGAACCAUAAAAGGGCACUUUAAAA